rnacentral:rRNA from 1 species
UGGGGAAUAUUGCACAAUGGGCGCAAGCCUGAUGCAGCCAUGCCGCGUGUAUGAAGAAGGCCUUCGGGUUGUAAAGUACUUUCAGCGGGGAGGAAGGUGUUGUGGUUAAUAACCACAGCAAUUGACGUUACCCGCAGAAGAAGCACCGGCUAACUCCGUGCCAGCAGCCGCGGUAAUACGGAGGGUGCAAGCGUUAAUCGGAAUUAAUGGGCGUAAAGCGCGCGCAGGCGGUCUGUCAAGUCGGAUGUGAAAUCCCCGGGCUCAACCUGGGAACUGCAUCCGAAACUGGCAGGCUUGAGUCUUGUAGAGGGGGGUAGAAUUCCAGGUGUAGCGGUGAAAUGCGUAGAGAUCUGGAGGAAUACCGGUGGCGAAGGCGGCCCCCUGGACAAAGACUGACGCUCAGGUGCGAAAGCGUGGGGAGCAAACA